AUCGCUAUGGUUGCUGCCAUGGGUCGUUGAACUUGAAAUCCAGCUAUGUGUUCGUUGCGGGUCAUUUGAAAUUGAUAAACAUUGAAGGAUCCUGUAAUGAUAUAAGUCAAAUAUGGUAGAGAGCAGGAUUUUGUAGACAUGGAGCUGCUUUUUAGGAGUUUGUUUUCUUUGUUGACUUAGAAUUUCCGGUGGCCUGAGAAGGAUGCAUUUCUCAAUUGUUUUUGAGUACCUAUCGGUUAGGGUAUAAUGAGUUCUAUUUUAAACUGAGGAAACACCACCCUUUUCUUUUGACCCCAAGGAAACGUCUAGAAUACGCAGAUAGGUUAUAUCGAUUGAUGGUUGCCGACCCUGAGAGCAACUUGUUGAAAAUGCUCAGCUCACAGGUUUUUGACCGGUACAAGAAUUGGAAUAGCAAGUCUGCCAUAGCAUCUUGGUCGGACUACAUGCAGGAAGUGUAUUUCUUCAAAGAGAAGACAGACUACACUGGUACUCCAGAAGACCUGCUGAGAUUUAUUCGAAAUUUAUUUCAUCACUUUUCACAAGUACAUUGUUGACCCACCGUUACGUUCAAUGAAGUUGAUUACGAUAUUAUGUACUUCUUUGAAGGAUUUGUAGAUGUUAUACAUAGAGAUUUAUAUUAAUGCUUCCCAGUACGCAUUGUAUGAA